rnacentral:rRNA from 1 species
CCUACGGGUGGCAGCAGUGGGGGAUAUUGCACAAUGGGGGAAACCCUGAUGCAGCGACGCCGCGUGGGUGAAGAAGUAUUUCGGUAUGUAAAGCCCUAUCAGCAGGGAAGAAAGACGACGGUACCUGACUAAGAAGCCCCGGCUAACUACGUGCCAGCAGCCGCGGUAAUACGUAGGGGGCGAGCGUUAUCCGGAUUCACUGGGUGUAAAGGGAGCGUAGACGGCCGUGCAAGCCAGGAGUGAAAGCCCGGGGCCCAACCCCGGGACUGCUCUUGGAACUGUGCGGCUGGAGUGCGGGAGGGGCAGGCGGAAUUCCUGGUGUAGCGGUGAAAUGCGUAGAUAUCAGGAGGAACACCGGCGGCGAAGGCGGCCUGCUGGACCGCGACUGACGUUGAGGCUCGAAAGCGUGGGGAGCGAACAGGAUUAGAUACCCUUGUAGUC